UUUUUUUUUUUUUUUUUUUUUUUUUUUUGGGAUAAUUCAGUCAAAAUUUCAUUGAAAUAGAUAACAUCCCUGCAUAGAAGAAGUAUGUAACAUUGACUCUUUCCCUUGCAAAAUUUAUUCUAAAUAAAAAUCAGUAUCGUAUAUGUCCUAUAGUUUGCCGCUGCUAUUGUGUUUUCUAGUUGUGGUUGUUGGGAAUAUAUACUAUGAGGCUGUUAUAAUUGAAUAACAAAUAUAUUAAUGACACUAGUAGAUAUAGAAUUUACUAAAUAUCGUAUUCUAUUUGGUCCACGUAUUAUGAAUGUAUAGUAGCAAUGCACUGCUUCGAAGGCUCUGUAGCAUUGUGUGGAUUGCUUUCACCUUAGUGAAAUUGAAGUUCAUUCAUACGUUGGAGUUUAGUCUGUAUUUGUGGGGUAGGGGAUCAGGAGUAAAGUGAAUAAACUCUUUAAGGGAAUGAGUGAAACGUAUGUAGAAGGUUAAAGCCUGAUGUCUUUUUCGUGUUUUAAACUGUUAAAACGUGAGGAUAUUCAUUUCACCUUUCUUUGGGGUAGGUGUAAGCUCUGUCCUUUUAGUGUCGUUCAUAGUCGUUAUUCAAAUAAAAUAUAAUUUACCGCAAUGACUGGCAAUCUUUAUUCACAUAUCUUGAAUGGUUAAAAUAUUAUUCUAGUCUUUUACCUUUCCACAGGCUCAUAAGCUCUGUGUUGUUAGGUUUAUUUCUAAACAAAUGAUGAUGCAAAUAAUAGUGGUGAUUGUAUCACUUAUUAUACAGAAUCAAAAUCAAUAUCGAUACAAAUUUGGUUCUCUAUUUUCUCCAUUCGCUAGUAUUUUUUGAUGUCAUCAAAUUAUUUGUCAUGCUUUGUUAUUGCACUAUGAGUUUCAAAGGCUUAGGGUUCUGCGAGUUUGUGCCUCCAUUUGGUGUUUUAAUAUCCCAUCUCCCCUUUGUCGUAAAGAUUGUUUCUAGGGCAUGGUGAUCUGAGAUCAGUUUUUAUUAAUAUAUUUAUUUUUAUUUUUUUUGUGGUGGGCGGAAGGGGGGAGAAUAGUGACAAAUUUAGCUUGUAAACUAUUUACUUUUAAAUAUAAGAAAAGCAGUGGUCAUAUAAAAUAUAAUUUUUAAGAAAAAGAGUGAAGUUAAUUAGUUAAAUAAUGUCAAAUUACCCAAUAACAUCAUCUUGAUUCUCAAGAAGAUUAAUUAAUUUCUUUGGUUGCUAAAUUACAUGUGAUUGGCCAUUAUUUUCUUUUUUGGGUUAAUGUGCAUUCCUCAAUAUGUGCCUUUUAACAUUGGAGUUUCGGAUACCUUUUCCCCAGCCUUUUAAGUUGAAGUUUGAAGAAGUGGGAAUAUAGAACAUAGUUUCUCCUUCUACAACCCAAAAGUAUAAUCAAUUGUUAAUAAGAAUUGUUCUGCAAUCACCAGUUGACUAUUCUAUGAUGUCUUUUUGCUAGUACAGGUGGGAAGUCAGAUUACACCCCUAUCCCUUCGCAUUUUGUUCUGGGAUCUUUUGCUAUGACCCUGUCCUUAGAAAUAAUUAUAGUACUCUGGAGCUCAAUAUUCAGGAAUUAGAUGAUUUUGAGACCCCAGUGUUCAUGAAAUUAGUGUUGGAUUUGGGAUUCAGGGGGUCAUCUGGUUAGUUUGAGCUCUGCUUUUGAGAAUCUAUAUUAAUUAAUUUGACAUGACAAUUUUUCUAUUAUUUUUUUUUUUUUUGGGGUGAAACUCAAGUCGUCAAAAGGAGCACCAUAGCUUGUAUGCUGCAAGGUUGAAAUGAACUGAUACAGCAGUUCAAUUGUAAAGCUCAGAUUCCCUAGUUUACAGUAGUGUUUUUCUUUUAUGUUAAUUUGUAUCGGUCGAUGGCCCUUCUUGAAUUGAAUUCUUGAGCUAACCCUGUCAGAAAUUGCUCCAGUGGAAUUAGACAUAUUUGUUUCCCAUGUUUUCUUAGGCCUACAUUGAACUAGUUUUUGUUUGAGCCGAGUUCUCUGGUUUUCUGAAUUUUAAUAUCUAUAUAGUUACCUUUUUCACCAUUCUUGUUAAAGCGCAUAUUGCUUGAAAAGUGCAAAAAGGUGCCCGCAAAUUUUUUUUUAUCUAAUUUUAAGAUUUUAGUUUAGUUCUUGGUCAUCAUUUUCAUUUCCCUUUACAUUCUACGACUUUCUGGAGCCUAAUCAUACUAUAUACUUAUUCAGUUAUUCUAUAUGUAUUAUGUUGCUCUAAUAUUCCUUCUCAUUCACUCUUGUUAUUUGGAUUAGGGCUUCAUCCCCUAAACAGUAUAAAUGUCACCUUUUUCUUUCUGGUUCUGAACUCUGUUGUUCGUAAAUCCUUCAUUCUUGUAUCAGUUGCAGUUUUUGUCGCCAAAAAGGAAGCAUAGGACCAGGGAGAGAGAAGGUUGUACAUUAGUGCAAUGCACAUUCAAGGGAAAUACAGAGAUUGCACAGAUCAACACAGGGUUCUGCUGGUAUAUGCAUUCUGAUCAAUGGAGGUGAUUCCUUGGGACAAUUGAUUAAUUGAAGAUUGUGGAAAAAGAUUUUUCAUGAAGGAUUCUUAUUUAAUAAGCAACAAAGAUUGUUUCAGAUUCUGCUAUUGUUAAGAAAUUCUUGUUGUUUAGGAACAUCAACCCUGAAUCAGUGGCGGUGGAGGAUUUAUUUUGUCUAUUUCAAAGCUUAACACAUGUACAAUUCAUUUAAAUGAGUGACAAGAAUAUUUGAAUUCAGGAUUUUGUCUCCUUCAAUCUAUGUAGAUAAUUUGGGAAUUCUCUUAAAAUGUCAACAUUGUAUUGGUCAGCACUCUUACAUUAAUGUUUUUUUCCUCUAUGCGCUAUGCUUUUGUCGCAAGAAAUGGUCAAUUACUAUAGAAUUCUAAUUAUUUCUAUGAUCUAUAAUGAUUAAAACUUC
rnacentral:lncRNA from 1 species